rnacentral:rRNA from 3 species
UUGACCUCGGAUCAGGUAGGGAUACCCGCGA